CUGUCUGUUGAAGACCCCCCCCCCCCCACCAAGCUGCCCACCAGAGGCCAAGCUGUACUUGGUGUUUGCCAACAUGCUGUAAUUUCCAGCCUGGUUGCUGUAGCCACAGAGGAAUUUUCAAGGACAAGAACCAGUGCUGGUAAAACUGUGGUCUCUGUGGUUUUCCAUACCGGCUCUCGGCAAGGAUUUUCAAGAAAGGAAUACCAUCUCCAAAUCAUGAUGUGCCAAUAAGCUCCAGUUAGCUGCGGCCUUUUCCCCAGGCGGUAGUCCUGCAAUCUGAAUCCAGGAGAUGCAGCUCUGAAUCCAAUAUUUCAGAAGAAUGAAGAUGAAGCAGACCCAGGAGGAACUGUCUGUUGAAGACCCC